rnacentral:misc_RNA from 1 species
UCCGUUUUGUCAACGGCAGUCUCUCUAGAGUGCCCGGCCGAACCGCUGGCAACUAAAGGUAAGGGUUGCGCUCGUUGCGGGACUUAACCCAACAUCUCACGACACGAGCUGACGACAGCCAUGCAGCACCUGUGCAAGGGGCCCUCGCGGGCACACCCAGCUUUCACCAGGCUUCCGGACAUGUCAAGGGUAGGUAAGGUUGUUCGCGUUGCAUCGAAUUAAUCCACAUCAUCCACCGCUUGUGCGGGUCCCCGUCAAUUCCUUUGAGUUUUAAUCUUGCGACCGUACUCCCCAGGCGGUCAACUUCACGCGUUAGCUGCGGUACCAAGAACUUGCGCUCCCGACACCUAGUUGACAUCGUUUAGGGCGUGGACUAC